AUUGAACGCUGGCGGCAGGCCUAACACAUGCAAGUCGAACGAGUGGCGGACGGGUGAGUAAUGUCUGGGAAACUGCCCGAUGGAGGGGGCUAACUACUGGAAACGGUAGCUAAUACCGCAUACUAUCGGAUGUGCCCAGAUGGGAUUAGCUAGUAGGUGGGGUAACGGCUCACCUGGGCGACGAUCCCUAGCUGGUCUGAGAGGAUGACCAGCCACACUGGAACGGAGACACGGUCCAGACUCCUACGGGAGGCAGCAGUGGGGAAUAUUGCACAAUGGGCGCAAGCCUGAUGCAGCCAUGCCGCGUGUAUGAAGAAGGCCUUCGGGUUUUAAAGUUCUUUCAGCGAGGAGGCGUUACUCGCAGAAGAAGCACCGGCUAACUCCGUGCCAGCAGCCGCGGUAAUAC
rnacentral:rRNA from 1 species